CUUGUUUCCAUUUUUUGGGUUCCUACUUUUCUUUUUGGUUUCCUUUUUUUGGGGGGUGGGGGGGGCUCUGCUUUUCUCAGGAUUUCUUUUCCGUCCAAACCUAUUAAGAGAUAAAACCCAAAGAUAGAAACGCUUUGUGAUUUGCACACAUGGUUUAAGAGAUAAAAUAUUUUUAAAAAUAAAUAAAUAAAGCAAAAUUCUCAAGUUGUGAGAAGUAUCGCACAUGCAAUGUGCUACUUGUCACCAUAAGAAAAGGCCAGGGUGAUUUUUGCAAGGGGUAUCCCUUAACUACUUUUUUAAAAUAACCCCUUAACUAGUUUUUUUAGCAUUAACCCCUUAACUAGUGAUUUCAUUUGUUUAACCGGGAGAAAAAGACCAAUAUAAUUGGACCCUAUCUUGUGUAUGAUGCGGUAUGUGCCCUCGUUCUCGGGCCUGGGCCUCCCCGAGCGCAGACACACACACACCUCAACAACCUCUCCGAGGGACUGCUCUCGCGGAGUCACAGUCACAGAUCCCCUUGUUGACUCGCUCAGUCUCCGGGUCUCCUCCCUCUCCAACUCUCAUCUCAAGGUCGAAGGCGACGGCGUCCAAGGGCCGGCCGGAGCAACCGCCUCAGAUUUCUAGCCCCUGCCUCCCUCAAGCCGGCAGCUGCUUUUCUUCGUGAAAUCCCAAGGUGCGAAGGAAUAUACCAUGGAUUUCGGACAAAAGACGGCGGCGGUAGUGACAUUUAUGAAGUACGCAGGGGCCAUGAAAGGCCUCAAGGUCGGUGCAGCAGCUGCCGCUGUAGUAGCCGCGACCACGGCUGCCAUAUCAGGGAAAGACACGAACAAAUGCAAUCCCAAGGCAAGAACAAAAUGAUGAUAUAUGCUCAUCAGUUGGUGGAGAAGCACUUUGCGGAAAAUGCCGUAAUUGCACUCUGUACGUAGUUGUAGUUUAAGCUAUCUUCAAGUAUCAUGCUACUUCAUGCGUUGGAAAAUGUCACACCCAGAAGUCGUGUUGCUGUGAGCAUGACGGUGGAACUGAGUAAAACACAUCCAUGGUCAUUAAACUUGGCUCUAAGAGGUUUAGUUUGAUCACUAUCUGGGGUGAAGCUAGAACAAAUAAACCAUUGUUGUUAGCUUUAUUAUUUAGUGCCAUUCUUGUACUUGUAAACAGUGAUGUGGACUAUCUAAUGAAGUGUUCGGCAAAUUA